UACGUAGGGUGCGAGCGUUGUCCGGAAUUAUUGGGCGUAAAGAGCUCGUAGGCGGUUUGUUGCGUCGGCCGUGAAAACCUGCAGCUUAACUGUGGGCCUGCGGCCGAUACGGGCAGACUUGAGUUCGGUAGGGGAGACUGGAAUUCCUGGUGUAGCGGUGAAAUGCGCAGAUAUCAGGGGGAACACCGGUGGCGAAGGCGGGUCUCUGGGCCGAUACUGACGCUGAGGAGCGAAAGCGUGGGGAGCGAACAGG
rnacentral:rRNA from 1 species